rnacentral:lncRNA from 10 species
AGCUCUGGGAAGGGUGGGGUGGUCAUGAAGUCCUGAGAGAGCAGAGGGACACACCAACUUCUCUUGUUGGUUCCCUCAACCCUGCCCAUACCUAUGGGUAAUCAGAGAUGGAUUCAGUCUCCAGUUAGGAUCCUCAUCAAGGUAUUUGUAUGGGGGAUUCCAUGCAGAUGGUGUAUAGAGAGAAGAUAGACACAAGGGGGAAGACAACAUACCCUUCGAGAUCUUCAUAGCCAAGGACUGGAUUUGAACAAGUCAGUCUCCAGCUAUGUUUUAGACACUGAGGACUGUGCCCGUCAUCCCUUAGAGCUUCUCUCUGGGCCACUGGCUCGAAGGGCACAUCUCAGGGAAAAAGGACCCAGAAUUCACAACGGAACAUCAACAUAUCCAAAAGACAAGUUUCAAUGAACAGAUUCUCAGCAAAAGGACUCUAAGGAUGCAGAGGAAGGGAAGUCACCCAAUCUGGGAAGGAGGUCCUUUCAAGACAAUGCUACCUCGGGGCUUCUGCUGUGUCUCUAGAUACUUUGAAAAGUCCAGGUUACUCAGUCUCGGGUAUGUGUAUCAGCAAUGUGAAAACGGACUAGUACAUCUCUAGAGGCACAUGCCAUGUGGUCCAGCCAUAAUUAUUUGUUGUCACAACUA